rnacentral:rRNA from 1 species
AACGAACGCUGGCGGCAUGCCUAACACAUGCAAGUCGAACGAGACCUUCGGGUCUAGUGGCGCACGUGUGCGUAACGCGUGGGAACCUGCCCUUAGGUUCGGUAUACCUCCCCGAAAGGGGUGCUAAUACCGGAUAAUGUCUUCGGACCAAAGAUUUAUCGCCUUUGGAUGGGCCCGCGUUGGAUUAGCUAGUUGGUAGGGUAAAAGCCUACCAAGGCGACGAUGCAUAGCUGGUCUGAGAGGAGGAUCAGCGACACUGGGACUGAGACACGGCCCAGACUCCUACGGGAGGGAGCAGUGGGGAAUAGUGGACAAGGGGCGAAAGUCUGAUCAAGCAAUGCCGCGUGAGUGAUGAAGGCGUUAGGGUUGUAAAGCUCUUUUACCCGGGAUGAUAAUGACAGUACCGGGAGAAUAAGCACCGGCUAACUCCGUG